rnacentral:lncRNA from 1 species
CUAUAUAAUGAAAAUUAUAUUAUUUAAUACUGUGAGUGUUUUGGUAAAUUGAUUCUCAUUCUUAUUUCUCGUUCUCAUUUAUUUUGUGAGGUAAACACAUCAAUGGCAUUCCAACACAUUCCCAUUCCCAUUUAUUUUUGUCAAGUAAACAUUAGAAUCUAAUUCUCAUUCCCAUUCCCAACGUAUUUCCAUCUCAGCUCAUUCCAUUCCAUCAAUGACAUCCCAACACAUUCUCAUUCUAUUAGAGGAAUGUCAAUAUUCCCACUCUUUAUAUUUUUGAGUUUUUGGAUCAGUGCAUUGAUGUCAUUUUCAAAUUUCAGACGGUUGCAAGCUUAGGAUCGGUAAUAAUUGGGAUAAAAUUGGAGAUAGAUUUAAAAAUGGAUUAUGUGGUAGAGAUUAGGUUCGUGUGUAAUGAAGUACAUGAAGUUAUGGUGCAUAACGUUGACCAUUGCUUUGACUGAAGCAAUGAUUGGUUGUAAGGGCGAGCUUAAUGUAUACGAAAACAGUAGACUAGAACCCUUACUUACGUGGGUCUGAGUGUCUGACGAACCUGUUAGUCCAUCCGUACCUUGCGCCAUGGGUCGACUCGCCCUAGUAGUGGUACCGUAACCACGCAUUUAGACCAUUAAUCAUUCUUGAUAUUAGUGUCGAGUUACUGCCACAUCAUCAAACUUUGACCAGGUUAUUGACCCAUGUUGACCAGGUUGUUGACCCGUGUUGACCAGGUCAUCGACCACAUUGACCCACUUUGACCAAACAUUUUUUAACCACUGGAUUUUUUACCGUGAUUGAAAGCUCCUGAAGCAGCGACAUUGCCUGAAUUUGAACCCUUGAUUCUGGAUAAUCUAAUGGUCAGAUUUGUUACAAAUUUAAUAUAUAAGCUAAUCACAACCAACCUUAUGAGAAGUAGGGGUGGGCAUUGAUCGGAUUGGGAUUUGAAGGCAAAUCUGAUUGGAUGAAAUUUGUGUGAUCCGAUUGGAUUUGGUUAAGAUCGAAUCGGAUUCGGAUAAAUCCGAAUCAUCCGAUCGGAUCUGCACUGUAAACAAAAAAGAAAACUGAAAAUUUUAAAAAGAAAGCUAAAUGACUAAAUGUUUUUGGAUGACAAUUUUUAUUUUGGUUUAUUUUAUUGUUGGAUAAUAUAAUGAUAAUAUUAAUUUUCGGAUUUUGUGUUGUUUAUUUAUUUGGAGACUUGGAGUAAUGUUUGAUUGUUUAUUUUGUGUUGUUUGUUUGGAGACUUGGAGUAAUGUUUAUUUUGUGUUGUUUACUUGGAGACUUGGAGUUAGAGCAAAGUUUAUUUUGUGUUAUUCAUUUGGACUUUGGAGAGUUGGAGCAAUGUUUAUUUUGUGUUGUUUAUUUAGAGACUUGGAGCAAUGUUUAUUUUGUGUUGCUUAUUUGGAGGCUUGGACUUGGAGUAAUGUUUAUGCACCUAGCUUGUAAGAGGAUUACUAAUUAAAUUAAAUGGGAGUGUUUGUACAAAAUGAAUGCAUAUGAGAAUAUACAUGGGCCGUUGAUUAUAGAUUAUUAGAUUUGAUUAUUUAAAUAUUUUCAUUUUAAUGGUUUAUAAUUUUUUUAUUUUUGUGAAUGGAAACUUUGUAUCGGCUUGUUUUCUUGGUAUAUGUCAAUGCCAUAUUGUCAAGGAAACAAUACAUUAUCAUUUGUCAACUUGUUUUUGUUUUCCUUUUUUUUAAUGGUUAGUAAGUUUUCAUUAAUUAUAUAUUUCAUGAAUUUUUUGUGAGAAUUGUUAAAAAGGUCCAAAUCUGAUUUCAAUCCGAAUUAAUCUGAAUCCAAAAUAUAAUCCAAAAUCUAAACUCAUCUGAUCCGAUCUGAUCCGAUCCGAAUCCGAGUAAUCCGAAAUUUUCAUCCGAUUCGAAUAAUUCGGAUCAGAUUUAAAGUCGGAUUGAAUUUGGAUGAAUUUUGUUUCAAUCCGAAUUAUCCGAAAUCCGAUCGGAUUCAUCCAAAUCCGAAAAUUGCCCACCCCUAAUGAGAAGAGCCACUUGCAAAUGAAGAUUUGAAAAAGGGAGUCAUACUUUCAAGUUAAAAUUAAAGACAAACACUUAGAGCAUUUCUAAAUGACUUUAUUAAUUUUACUCUUUAAAUAUUUAUUUACUUACCUAUGUGGUAAAAAAGAGAGUGAAAAAAUAUGGUUUUCUCCAAAAU